rnacentral:tRNA from 1 species
GGCAGCGUGGCGCGGGUUUGGGCCACCAGCAGUUCCUGGUUGCUCAGGUCGGCCUGUGCGAUGCCGCCCGCCGCCAC